UGAACCUCACAGGCAUCUGAGAGGUUGGAAAGCUCCGACGGUCAAGGAUGGGCUCGCGGCCUAUCAGCUUGUUGGUGAGGUAACGGCUCACCAAGGCGACGACGGGUAGCCGGCCUGAGAGGGCGACCGGCCACACUGGGACUGAGAUACGGCCCAGACUCCUACGGGAGGCAGCAGUGGGGAAUAUUGCGCAAUGGGCGAAAGCCUGACGCAGCAACGCCGCGUGCGGGAUGACGGCCUUCGGGUUGUAAACCGCUUUCAGCAGGGACGAAACUGACGGUACCUGCAGAAGAAGCACCGGCUAACUACGUGCCAGCAGCCGCGGUGAUACGUAGGGUGCGAGCGUUGUCCGGAAUUAUUGGGCGUAAAGAGCUCGUAGGCGGUCUGUCGCGUCGGAAGUGAAAACUCGGGGCUCAACCCCGAGCCUGCUUUCGAUACGGGCAGACUUGAGGAAUGUAGGGGAGAACGGAAUUCCUGGUGGAGCGGUGGAAUGCGCAGAUAUCAGGAGGAACACCAGUG
rnacentral:rRNA from 1 species